rnacentral:siRNA from 1 species
AUUCAAAGUGCGUUCUCUUUAGAA